ACGGAGGGAGAAGGGGUCGCGCGUCGGGGGCUCAGCGUCCGGCGCGAGGAAAGUCCGGGCUCCGCAGGGCACGGCGCCGGGUAACGCCCGGGCGUCGCGAGGCGACGGAAAGUGUCACAGAGAACAGACCGCCGAUGGCGGCUUCGGCCGCACAGGCAAGGGUGAAACGGUGGGGUAAGAGCCCACCGCGCGGUCCGGCGACGGACGCGGCACGACAAACCCCGCCGGGAGCAAGGCCGAGCAGGAGCGAGCGGUGGCCCGCCGCGUUCGAGCUCCGGGUAGGCCGCACCAGGCGUCGGGAAACCGGCGUCGCAGAGAGAUGACCCCGCGGGCCUUCGGGCCCGUCACAGAACCCGGCUUAUCUCCCUCCGCGCCC
rnacentral:RNase_P_RNA from 1 species